rnacentral:rRNA from 1 species
UACGGAGGGUGCAAGCGUUAUCCGGAUUCACUGGGUUUAAAGGGUGCGUAGGUGGGCUAGUAAGUCCGUGGUGAAAUCUCCAAGCUUAACUUGGAAACUGCCGUGGAUACUAUCAGUCUUGAAUCUCGUGGAGGUAAGCGGAAUAUGUCAUGUAGCGGUGAAAUGCUUAGAUAUGACAUAGAACACCGAUAGCGAAGGCAGCUUGCUACACGAGUAUUGACACUGAGGCACGAAAGCGUGGGGAUCAAACAGG